CACUUUACGCUUUUUAUUUGUUGUUGUGCGGGAGAAUUGCGUGAAAAUCGCAAACAGUCCGGCUACUGUGAUUGGACGUUUUUUGUCCAUAAGUCAGAGCGCCUGCAAAAAUAAAACGCCCCAUG
rnacentral:ncRNA from 15 species